rnacentral:lncRNA from 1 species
UUACAUUAAAACAAUACGCAAGAUCAUGGAUCAUAAAUCAGUGUUUAAAAUCUGUCACUUUUGUUUCCCAACACAUUGAAAGACCGCAGAUGGCAUUGGGUGCAGCAGUAACAAACUCUUUUACUAAAUAUUUCCACAGAAGAACUUUAAAUAUGUUCACAAUAGUGUAGCUACACCAAAAUCGAACUUUGUUUGCAGAUAGCUCAUGAUAUAAAAAAAUCAACAACGACCAUUUAAAACUCAUCAUGGGAGCAGACGAUUUCAGAUUUUUAUUCAAACUUAACGUCAGAUAUAAAGAAGACCUUUAUCAAACACAUAGGUGAACAACUAUUGCAGAUUUCGUAACAUUAUAGCAUCCCAACGAUAACUACAUUACCCGAGAUUGAAAUUGGUACCUCAACAGCAAUACAAACUGCAAUUAGCCAAAUAAAGGCGAGAGAUAAAGAGCAGGCACAUCAAUCCAAUAAAACAACCCAACUAGCUCCAACUAUGGACUACAUUCAGUUUGAAAACCCAGGAAAGCGAUGUAGGAGAUCUCUUUGGAUCGACAAACACAAACUAAUUGUUUUUUAGUGUAGAAAUCAACUCUUACUCUAUUUUUUUGAAGCUGGAAAUUUCAGAUCUUAGAAAGGAAAUUUUUGAAUUUCAAAAUCUGUUUUCAGAUGUUUCUCGCACGUGUGUGUCAAGAUGUGUUGUGUGAUUUUGUGAAGGGAUCUCAAAAUCAGAGAGGAGGUCGCUGAUUUUAAUGGAAAAUGGAGGAGAAACUUUUUCAGCUCUCCAAAUGUGCCGCCUCUGUAUAUUUUCGGAGAGGAAGGUCCCAAAAAUCUCAUCUCCUCCUUUUUAGGUGUAGGUCUCCUUAGGUUUUAAUAAAAGUAGUCUUGGGUCAAACCGGGUCGGAUCAGGAGGGGUAUUGGCUUGGGUCA